rnacentral:rRNA from 1 species
AUGGAGAGGCACGGGGUGAGAGGGGAGUUGGUGCCCGAACAGAUAAGGUGGGAGUUGGUGCAGUUUGGUGGUUCGUUUUGUAGCUACAGCGGUACAUGGUACCAUAUAACUGGAAUUAACCAAUGCAAGUUGAAGAAGGAUUGGCCGGUGCUGCCGGCUGGUGUCAAGUUCGAUCCCACGUAUCAGGAGCUGAUCCAGCACCUUGAGGCCAAAGUGAGUGCUGACAGCGUGAGAUCUCACCCUCUCAUUGAUUUUUUUUCAUACCAACCAUUGACAGCGAGCACGGCAUAUGGUAUCACACUGAGUGGCCUAAGCAAGCAUUUCUUCCAUCGCAAUUCCAGGGCGUUCAAAAGGGGCACCUGGACGCGUCGUAAGAUACAGUCGGAGUGCAGCAUGAACGUGAUGUGGCACAAGAGCAUCAAUACCUUGCCGGUGAUGGUCAACGACCGGCAGACGGGCAGCAAAAAGGUUCUGGUGCUGCACACCAACAAGAACUUCGACCAGCAGAGGACCGACUGGGUGAUGCACCAGUACCACCUCGAGGGCCUGGAGCAAGAGAAGGAGCGGGAGCUGUUAUCAGUCUGUACUUGCAGAAUUCUCUCGUUUAUUGAGCAGGCCCAGCCCGUGACGACAACAGGGCACAAAGAUCCAGCAAGUAUCUACUGGCCUCUGGCCCGCCAGCGUUAG